CCAGUGGGCGGGCCCCGGGGGCGGGGCUUGGAGGUACUCACGGGGGCCUUCCACCGCGGCGGCUGGACAAAUUGGGCCGGAGAUUAAAGGACCGGAGUUUAACUCGAGGUGUGUUACUUCUGAGCCUCAGUGUCCCAGUUUCUAAGGCAGCGAGGACACAAGUUAUGAAAUCCACAGGAUGCAAAAAAGUAUUCAAUGAAAAUUGUUAUUCCAGUUCCUGCCAGAUGGAUCCCCCCUUAAAGAUAACCACCAUACGGGUUUAUUGUGUGCUCCUUUAGAGAUGGUCUGUAUACACAGUUUUCAGGAAGUUCAUGGAAAAUGUGUUUUGAAGGAAAAUAUGCAUGAAUUUCAACUUUGUAACGAAAUACAUUAGUUCCUUUCUUUCCCCCA